rnacentral:tRNA from 1 species
UAUACUUUAAUAUAAGAUGUAUAGUAGUUUUUGAUACUGCAAGAAACAGUUUAAUCCUGUUAAGUAUAAAU